GACGAACGCUGGCGGCGUGCUUAACACAUGCAAGUCGAACGGUGAAGCGCUUGCCUUUUUGGUGGGUGUGGAUGAGUGGCGAACGGGUGAGUAACACGUGAGUAACCUGCCCUCUUCUUCUGGAUAACCUCAUGAAAGUGGGGCUAAUACGGGGUAUUCCGGGUCUGUCGCAUGGCGGGUUUGGGAAAGAUUGCGCCUUUGGGUGUUUUCGGUGGGGGAUGGGCUCGCGGCCUAUCAGCUUGUUGGUGGGGUGAUGGCCUACCAAGGCGGUGACGGGUAGCCGGCCUGAGAGGGUGGACGGCCACACGGGGACUGAGACACGGCCCAGACUCCUGCGGGAGGCAGCAGUGGGGAAUAUUGCACAAUGGGCGCAAGCCUGAUGCAGCGACGCCGCGUGAGGGAUGGAGGCCUUCGGGUUGUGAACCUCUUUCGCCAGUGAAGCAGGCCUGCUCCUGUGUGGGUGGGUUGACGGUAGCUGGAUAAGAAGCGCCGGCUAACUACGUG
rnacentral:rRNA from 1 species